rnacentral:rRNA from 1 species
AGCGCAGGCGGGAAGGCAAGUUGGAAGUGAAAUCCAUGGGCUCAACCCAUGAACUGCUUUCAAAACUGUUUUUCUUGAGUAGUGCAGAGGUAGGCGGAAUUCCCGGUGUAGCGGUGGAAUGCGUAGAUAUCGGGAGGAACACCAGUGGCGAAGGCGGCCUACUGGGCACCAACUGACGCUGAGGCUCGAAAGUGUGGGUAGCAAAC